AUUGAACGCUGGCGGCAUGCCUUACACAUGCAAGUCGAACGGCAGCACGGGUGCUUGCACCUGGUGGCGAGUGGCGAACGGGUGAGUAAUACAUCGGAACAUGUCCUGUAGUGGGGGAUAGCCCGGCGAAAGCCGGAUUAAUACCGCAUACGAUCCACGGAUGAAAGCGGGGGACCUUCGGGCCUCGCGCUAUCGGGUUGGCCGAUGGCUGAUUAGCUAGUUGGUGGGGUAAAGGCCUACCAAGGCGACGAUCAGUAGCUGGUCUGAGAGGACGACCAGCCACACGGGGACUGAGACACGGCCCAGACUCCUACGGGAGGCAGCAGUGGGGAAUUUUGGACAAUGGGCGAAAGCCUGAUCCAGCAAUGCCGCGUGUGUGAAGAAGGCCUUCGGGUUGUAAAGCACUUUUGUCCGGAAAGAAAUCCUUGACUCUAAUACAGUCGGGGGAUGACGGUACCGGAAGAAUAAGCACCGGCUAACUACGUG
rnacentral:rRNA from 1 species